GAAUUUAAGCUCGUCUCUUCGGAGAGAGCGAACCUCCACUUCUAACUCUGUGCAUUAUUUUCGUAUUGGUGAUUAGUCUUCGGACUUUGAACCGUACGGCUUUACUCUAAACUCUGUUAAAGUAUGUAACAAAAUAUAAAACAAAAAAAAACUUUCAACAACGGAUCUCUUGGUUCU
rnacentral:misc_RNA from 1 species